rnacentral:rRNA from 1 species
AAUAGAUACCCUGGUAGUCCACGCCGUAAACUAUGGAUGCUAGCUGUUCGAGGUAUCGACCCCUCUAGUAGCGAAGCUAACGCGUUAAGCAUCCCGCCUGUGGAGUACGGUCGCAAGACUAAAACAUAAAGGAAUUGACGGGGACCCGCACAAGCGGUGGAGCGUGUUGUUUAAUUCGAUGGUAAGCGAAGAACCUUACCCAGGCUUGACAUCCCGAGAAUCCUUCCGAAAGGAGGGAGUGCAUUUUGAACUCAGUGACAGGUGAUGCAUGGCCGUCGUCAGCUCGUGUCGUGAGAUGUUUGGUUAAGUCCAUCAACGAGCGCAACCCUUGUGAGUAGUUGAAUUUUUCUACUCAGACUGCCCUGGUAACAGGGAGGAAGGGGGGAUGAUGUCAGGUCAGUAUUCCCUUACGUCUGGGGCUACAAACACGCUACAAUGGCCGGUACAAAGGGCUGCCAAGUCGCGAGACGGAGCAAAUCCCAUCAAAGCCGGUCUCAGUUCGGAUAGCAGGCUGAAACUCGCCUG